GAUGUACAAUCCAUGCCCCAUUCCUUUCAAGUCAUUAAAUUAACGAGAACUAAUAUAUGUUACCAACUCUCCUUUUCCUUUACAAAUUUAUUUGUUUCCCAUGCAGUUGGCGGGGUAAUGGCUUUUCUCACUUUGCAUGAAAUGCUGCCAUUGGCAUUUGAUUACGCGGGAAAGAAGCAAGCAGUCAAGUAAGGCUGUGUUCCUUGGAAUGGCUUUCAUGUCUGCAACCCUGUAUUUUCUCGAACUCAGCUUGCCCAAGGACAUGAGCUUGUAAUGGAAUCGUUGAUCAGCCCUUCAUAGCUUUUUCAUGUUUCAAAACAUUCUUUGCAGGCUAUUGAUGUGUCUAGAUUUCUUCCUCCGGCCUCUCCCCUCUUGUAAUCACCUAGAGCUUCUAUAAUGUGCAAUGUUGUCUUCUUAUGAAAAACCAACUGUGUUGUCAUCUAUAUGGAAAAUUUAGUUCUCCAA